rnacentral:rRNA from 1 species
UGGGGAAUAUUGGACAAUGGGCGCAAGCCUGAUCCAGCCAUGCCGCGUGAGUGACGAAGGUCUUCGGAUUGUAAAACUCUUUUUGGCGGGGACGAUAAUGACGGUACCCGCAGAAUAAGCCCCGGCUAACUUCGUGCCAGCAGCCGCGGUAAUACGAAGGGGGCUAGCGUUGUUCGGAAUCACUGGGCGUAAAGCGCACGUAGGCGGAUGUGCCAGUCAGGGGUGAAAUCCCGGAGCUCAACUCCGGAACUGCCUCUGAUACUGCACGUCUUGAGUUCGAGAGAGGUGGGUGGAAUUCCUAGUGUAGAGGUGAAAUUCGUAGAUAUUAGGAAGAACACCGGUGGCGAAGGCGGCCCACUGGCUCGAUACUGACGCUGAGGUGCGAAAGCGUGGGGAGCAAACAGGAUUAGAUACCCCCGUAGUCCCUGAGCGGGCUGGCAAGGCGC